GGAGGAAAAGAAACUAACAAGGAUUCCCCUAGUAACUGCGAGUGAAGCGGGAAAAGCUCAAAUUUAAAAUCUGGCGGUCUUUGGCCGUCCGAGUUGUAAUCUAGAGAAGUGUUAUCCGCGUUGGACCGUGUACAAGUCUCCUGGAAUGGAGCAUCAUAGAGGGUGAGAAUCCCGUCUUUGACAUGGACUACCAGUGCUUUGUGAUGCGCUCUCAAAGAGUCGAGUUGUUUGGGAAUGCAGCUCUAAAUGGGUGGUAAAUUCCAUCUAAAGCUAAAUAUUGGCGAGAGACCGAUAGCGAACAAGUACCGUGAGGGAAAGAUGAAAAGAACUUUGGAAAGAGAGUUAAACAGUACGUGAAAUUGCUGAAAGGGAAACGCUUGAAGUCAGUCACGUUGGCUAGAAAUCAACCUUGCUUUUGCUGGGCGUACUUUCUGGUCAACGGGUCAGCAUCAAUUUUGACCGUUGGAAAAAGUUCAGAGGAAUGUGGCAUCUUCGGAUGUGUUAUAGCCUCUGUUCGCAUACAACGGUUGGGAUUGAGGAUCUCAGCACGCCGCAAGGCCGGGUUUCGACCACGUUCGUGCUUAGGAUGCUGGCAUAAUGGCUUUAAUCGACCCGUCUUGAAACACGGACCAAGGAGUCUAACAUGCCUGCGAGUGUUUGGGUGGAAAACCCGAGCGCGUAAUGAAAGUGAAAGUUGAGAUCCCUGUCGUGGGGAGCAUCGACGCCCGGACCAGACCUUUUGUGACGGAUCCGCGGUAGAGCAUGUAUGUUGGGACCCGAAAGAUGGUGAACUAUGCCUGAAUAGGGUGAAGCCAGAGGAAACUCUGGUGGAGGCUCGUAGCGAUUCUGACGUGCAAAUCGAUCGUCAAAUUUGGGUAUAGGGGCGAAAGACUAAUCGAACCAUCUAGA
rnacentral:rRNA from 1 species